UCUGGAUGCCUCAAGCUCCAGCCAGCCCAGCAUAUGCCACAAGCACUAGGAGAAGGUAGUAUCAGAUGGGAGGCAUCAGGGACUGAGAUUGGCACACCCAGCACAGGAGCCAGGAAGAGUGCGGCCCCAAAAAGGGUGACAGCAGCAGGCAGGGGGUUGAGGCUGGUCCAAGGACAGCUGCUUGGGGCCCAGGGAGGGGUGGGAAUCUGAUAGGGGCACAGGGCAGGGGAGCAGCGCCAGGGGACACGUCUCCGCUCCCUGCUGCUCCUUCCCUCCCCUGCUCCCAGCACAGGCCAACAAAGACUCAGCAGAGGCCCAGUGAGUCCUUCCAGGGACUACAGCCACCAGCUUAGGCCUGAGCUCUCUUCCCAGGUGGCAGUGGGCAGUCUGCUUGGCAUGAUGGGGCCACCAAAAAUUUUGCUGCCUUCUGCUCAAGGGUGAGGGAAGACAGACUCCUACCUCUCCUGCCAGAAUCAGGGAAGCCCCAACCAUCAGGCUCUCACAAGAUACAAAAGAGAACCCAAGAUUCCUGGGAAGGUGCAGGCAGAACAGCCCUAGCCCAGUCCUGCAACAGGAGGGAUGAGGGAGACUGAAGAAAGGAUUUCCUGUCUGUCGGUGGGCUUCAGAGAUGCUGAGAUGAAGGACCCCUUUGCUGACUCUCUCAAGCCAGACCUGGGCUCACACGUGCCAAAUGUUGUGGAGACAGAAGAAUCAAAAAGGGUCUUGCUCCAAUCAGUGAUGGAUCUGUCUGGCACUGCUCUCUCUCUCCUGGCUCAAGCGGACUGACCUCCCUACUGUCCUCUGCCCUCAAAUGCCCUGCCUACUUCUUCUUCAAUGUACUCCUUUUCCUCGUC